rnacentral:snRNA from 1 species
ACCCUUACCAGGCAGGGAAAGAUACUACAAUCAUGAAGGUGAUUUUCCAGGGUGAGGCUUAUCCAGCGCACUACAGAUGUGCUGACCACUGCGAUUUUCCCAAAUGUGGGGAACUUGACUGAAUAAUUUGCUC